AAAUGACUCUCGGCAACGGAUAUCUCGGCUCUUGCAUCGAUGAAGAACGUAGCGAAAUGCGAUACUUGGUGUGAAUUGCAGAAUCCCGUGAACCAUCGAGUCUUUGAACGCAAGUUGCGCCUGAAGCCAUUAGGUUGAAGGCACGUCUGCCUGGGUGUCA
rnacentral:rRNA from 1 species